UCUCCUUUCUGGCUAAUUAUUCUUCCCAAGAUGCCUGCCUUCCAUCAUGCAGAAGCUGUCGAAACACAGGUGGUGUUUGCUUUGCUUGGUUUGUGUUGAGUGAUUCGUGAUACCAGUUGGAAAACAAGGUUAUUAAUGCAUAUAUUCCCUGGGGCAUUGUACUUGGCUUUUAAGAUCCAUGUAGUCUCUCCCUGAGAAAAUAUGUGAACCUCCAUGAGGAGGAAGUUCCAGGGAAAGCAGAGGAAAAGAAGGUAGGAACUGAAUGAAAAUAGAUAAAGGGCUUGCAGGAAUAACAAAAAGAUGGGAUCCCAGAAGACCAAGCAGUAGCCACUUUGAGUGAAUUUCCCAGGAGUUGCUUGUGCCAAGGCCCAUUCUUUCAAAGAAAAUUAUAGCAAAUAGAAUCAGGCUGGGAGGUUGCUAGUUAUUAGUAUUCAUCCCAUGCUCUAACCUAAUUACAAGGAGAUUGUUUUGGCCAUGGGCAGUCAUUUCAAGUUUUGUUUUCCUCCUUGCCUCCUCCACCUCCACCUGUCUUCCUAGAGGCCUGAGUCAAGGUUAUUGCAAUAGCACUGAACACUGUGUAACACCCGUACAGACAAAUUGACCUUUGGGGACGGGACCUCGCUCACUGUGAAGCCAAGCUGUGUGACACUGUGUGAAUUAUAACCAAGGAGGAAAGCUUAUCUUCGGACAGGGAACCACGUUAUCUGUGAAGCCCAGGAUGAAAUAAUGUGAUGCUGCCCUCAGGGAACUUACAUUCUGGAGGUGGACCCCCUCAUUCCCUCAGAUAUGACCAUCCAUAUUCUGAUGCCUCUUGGGCUUUUGUACCAUCCUCGCUACCUUAGGAAAUAUUAAAAUUGAUCUCUGUUGAAGUU